rnacentral:rRNA from 1 species
UACGAGGGUCCCUAGCGUUGUUCGGAAUUAUUGGGCGUAAAGCGGGUGUAGGCGGCUAUUCAAGUCGGAUGUGAAAUCCCUGGGCUCAACCUAGGACGUGCAUUCGAUACUGUUUAGCUUGAGUACGGGAGAGGGUAGUAGAAUUCCUGGUGUAGUGGUGAAAUACGUAGAUAUCAGGAGGAAUACCGGUGGCGAAGGCGGCUACCUGGCCCAGUACUGACGCUCAGACCCGAAAGCGUGGGGAUCAAACAGG